rnacentral:lncRNA from 1 species
AUCUAUCUGAGCUAUCUAUCUUUGAUUGAAGGAUCUGCUUGGCCUGCGCUUAGCUCCGAGGAAUAAUCGACUACUUGACUUGGCCACAUGCAUGACUAGAGCAUACAGUCGAGUCCAUCUUUCUCUAGAUCCAGUGUCCUUCCUCUGGCAAAUGUCACACUUCAAGUGGGUUCGCUUCGCCACUUUUCAUUCAUGAAUUUAGCUUGUGUGCUAAUUCGUGGUGCUCUUCAGGUUGGAUACACAGAUCUGUCUUUUUCUUGAAAGACCUCCUUGUAUUUUAUCAUGCCCAUUCCGCUUACAGCUAGAAUCUCUAUCUCUGAUCCU